ACCCGCUGAACUUAAGCAUAUCAAUAAGCGGAGGAAAAGACACCAACAGGGAUUGCCCUAGUAACGGCGAGUGAAGCGGCAACAGCUCAAAUUUGAAAUCUGGCUCUUUUAGAGUCCGAGUUGUAAUUUGCAGAGGGCGCUUUGGCUUUGGCAGCGGUCCAAGUUCCUUGGAACAGGACGUCACAGAGGGUGAGAAUCCCGUACGUGGUCGCUGGCUAUUGCCGUGUAAAGCCCCUUCGACGAGUCGAGUUGUUUGGGAAUGCAGCUCUAAAUGGGAGGUACAUUUCUUCUAAAGCUAAAUAUUGGCCAGAGACCGAUAGCGCACAAGUAGAGUGAUCGAAAGAUGAAAAGCACUUUGGAAAGAGAGUCAAACAGCACGUGAAAUUGUUGAAAGGGAAGCGCUUGCAGCCAGACUUGCUUACAGUUGCUCAUCCGGGCUUUUGCCCGGUGCACUCUUCUGUAGGCAGGCCAGCAUCAGUUUGGGCGGUAGGAUAAAGGUCUCUGUCACGUACCUCUCUUCGGGGAGGCCUUAUAGGGGAGGCGACAUACUACCAGCCUGGACUGAGGUCCGCGCAUCUGCUAGGAUGCUGGCGUAAUGGCUGU
rnacentral:rRNA from 1 species